CACUUACUUCUGGGGAGGAGAUAAAGAAGGGAAGAGAGCUCCUGCGUUUACCCCUAAGGUCAACUACUUCUCUCUGCCUUACAUGAGUGACAAAGAGCUUGAUACAACUGACUGGUGUUCGUGUAUUGAAGGUGAAGAUGUAGAAGGACUAUUUGCCCUGGUCUCCUGGGAAUAGAUAUUUAUGCAACCAGUCACAGAGGGCUGCAGCUGUUACCUCUGCUGUUUCUGCUGCUGUUGCUGCUGUCCCAGCAAAGGCCAUGCUCUUGGGGUCUGCAGAGUUCCAGACUGCCCAUGUAUGCCUGUGUGUACCUGAUGGCCAGGCCAACUGCUUAGCACUCAAGCUACCACUGUCUGCUGUACCUGCAGACCUGAGACCACAUGUUUACUAUCAUCUGGUUAUGUCCUCUGCUCAAUGCAUGCUCUAUUGCCCCAUUAAACUUUACUUAUAAGGCCUAGGUACAAAAUUAUAAAAUGAUUAAGGAUUUCAAGACAGCAUUGAAUUCCACAGAGCAUUGAACCAAGCCCGAGGCCCUUUCUGAGAGUGGGGUCCUGUGUUAUCGCACUGGAGUGCCCAUGAGCCUGGCCCUGUUGGCUGAACUUGAUGGAAGGGUGAGCAUCACUGGACAUUCCACAUGCUGCUGGCUGCCAUGAUGUGAUAGGAGCAAGUAGGGAAGAGCAUACCAGAACCAGGAAGAGAAGCCCUUAUCUUUCAGCAUCCCUCCAGUGUCCUUCUAGUACUCUCUACUGAAAAAGCUUAAUAUCAUGUCAGCUGAAAAAAAAAAAGGUAUAGGGUCCAACUCUACUAUCACAAACAGGAUAAAGAAGAAUGGAAUCUAAGUCACUUUGGAAAUGAGUGGUAUCUAUAAGACUAAAGGCAAAAUGUACUAUCCAUAGGAAUUUUACUGUAGUUGGUGGUAUAAUAAACUUUGGAUACUCAGAAAGGGGGAGGAUGGGAGCAAGCUAAGUGAUAAAAAAUUACAUAUUGGGCACAAUGUACAAUGUGCAUAUUCAUCUAUGUAACCAAAAUCCACUUG
rnacentral:lncRNA from 10 species